rnacentral:lncRNA from 1 species
CUACCCAACACUUCUUUGAAGUGAGAUUCCACCACUACCUACUCCUUCAUUUAAUAAAGAUUCAUUUUGAAUUAUUAUGCAUCGAGUCCUCUGAUAGACACGGGGCAAGGAGAAGGGGAGAGACAAAGAGGAAAUGACAAGAAUAUGGGCCUUGCCAUCAGUUUUCUUGGAAGGGGGUGGUUGAGGGAAUGAGGCAUUGUAAGAGAGGAAUGUAAAAAUCUAACUUCUUGUAGUUCUUUUUCCCCUUUAAUCAAGCCCACAUGUUUAACACCAGGAACUAAAUGUGGUGAGGAGGGAAGGAUUAUAAAAAUGUUCACUUUCAUCCUACAGAUAUGAGAAAACAAGAACAUACUGCCAUUACUCGACAACUUUAUAGCUCCAAAUAAUGCUAGCAUGCAGUAAAUCAAUGCAGGCUUUCGCUGGCUCAUGGAAUGCAUACCUCAUGUUUGCUCUGAGAGGGAGCCCGUGUGAUUCUAUCUAGUGCCAGGCUGCCAAUGCCCCUGGACGGGAUUGAGGAGAAAGGGCUGGGGUCGACAGAGGGAGGCGGCGGUCCAAUCUGCUCUCAGAGCCAACAAAAGUCUCCAACCCCCAGUCCCUCAACAACCUUCCUUCUCUUCUUAAGGAAUGACAGAAAUCAGGAAAUAUUACUUCGGCUUGCAGGCUUCUGUCCUGGCCUAUCAAACCCACAGAGAAGUCUCAGCAAAUUACUGGAAACUGCACUUUGAACUUAGUCCCUGGCAAGGAGCCCAGUCAAACAGAAAUGUAAAAGUUCCUUUCCUCCACGGGGCCCCUGCACCAGGGUGUCCCUAUAGACACUCUAGAGCUGAUUGCAACAGGUUGGAAUGAGGCCCCACGCCAGGAAAACAAGCCCUGACCAGUAUGAUUUCCUACUGCCUGUGUUGUUUCUUAAAAAGGUUUUUUUUGGCUUGUUCUCCCUCGUUUUGUUGGACUAGGUUACAGGCUCAGGUCCCAUCGAGGAAAAGACUGGCACCAUUUUCACAAAAUGCUUAAUCCUUGUUUAGUUCGAAAACUGCUCCAUCAGCCCCACCAGUAAGUGUAGUCAUGUUGGGGGGCAGCUAGGGGGAGGGACUGGUCAGGCCAGUUGCUAAGCAAAUUCUUAGAACUCCCAGGGAAUCGAGAAGUAAUUAGCUUGUAAACCCUGCAGAUAUUUCUACCUCCGACAAGGGAGACAAUAUUUCUCUGCCCACCAGGCUUCACUACGUGGUACUAAAAUAAACCAACAACAGGGACUGUCACGAAAUGAACAGCCCCAGCCGUGCCCGGUCCCAUAACUACUUCUCCUUCAUAAGCAGAAACAAAAUAUUGCCCUCUUUCUAACUCUGUUAUAUUUCUCUCUAAGAAAACUCAUUUGUACAAGCAAAUAAACUGACUCAUUAUAAAACUAAGAGGUCAACAAGAGGCAGAUAAAACUAAAGGUUAGACAGCUGGAGAAACAAGCCUCUCUUCCAGCUGCAAUGGGAGCUCCUGCGGAGGAAGCAACAAGUGCCCCGGGGGAUCCAUCGUCAACCUGGGAAGAGGAGGGGACAAGAGGAGAAAGAGGCGCUCCAGCACGCUCAAAGCCCAUUUCUGUUGGAUCAAACAUUCCUUUAAAACUAAAACUGAUGCGAAUCACAGCCAGAUCUGGCCAGCAGUGACCUAACUCUCUUAAUGUGCAAUUAUUUUCACUGUUUUCUCAUAAUGGGUUAUUUUUCUACAUUUGUAUUGUUGCAUACACAAAGUGUAAACAGGGCAGUGAUCUACUCUUCUGAUAAUUUUAUAAAGAAAAUUUCCCAAAUGUGUUUUUUAAAGCCCUACAUUCUCCCUAAAGGUUUCACAUGGAUUGGUAGAACUGCUUGUUCCAUCUCUCAGCCCACAGCUUCCCCCUUCCCUGCCUCCCUGACCUCCAACUGACCCAGUUCUGUAAUAAUCAACAGUCAAUGAACACCACACAAUUCAAAAAAAAAAAAAAAAA